rnacentral:rRNA from 1 species
UACGUAGGGGGCGAGCGUUGUCCGGAUUUAUUGGGCGUAAAGCGCUCGCAGGCGGCCUGCGGCGUCGUGCGUGAAAGCCCCCGGCUCAACCGGGGGUGGUCGUGCGAUACGGGCAGGCUUGAGGUAGGUAGGGGGACGCGGAAUUCCGGGUGUAGUGGUGGAAUGCGUAGAGAUCCGGAGGAACACCGGCGGCGAAGGCGGCGUCCUGGACCUGGCCUGACGCUCAGGAGCGAAAGCGUGGGGAGCGAUCCGG